CUGAACUUGUCAUGAUCUUAUAACUCUUCAAUCACAGUAUCUCUCUUGAGGGUGUACCAUCCUUCUGUUGUUUUCCUUAAGAAAGAUGAUGGGAGAAAACACAGAUGGGAAGAGGAGGCAAGAAGUGUGUCCAUAAGAGGUUCAUGGUUACGUUUAGAGUAUAUCCCACCAGGAACGUUUGGUAAUAUUACAGGAUGAAAAUUUCAUGACCAACUUUUCAAAAUACUUUAUCAUGUAAAUUAAAAAGUAUAUAAAGUCAUCUGGAUUCUUGUGGAGAGAGAAUAUUCAAACAAGGAAAAUUUGAAGAUACCCAUUUUUUCUUCCUAUAUAAAGGACAAUUACCACUCUUAGUGUAAUAUUUGACCUAUUGUUCAUUGUCAUUCUAGGCCGUAGAAAACAGAUUUU